rnacentral:tRNA from 1 species
UCUAAAAUGGCAGAUCAUUGCAUAAGAUUUAAGCUCUUAAUAGGAAAUAUUUUCUUUUAGAA